AUGUGCCUUUGGGUGAAAGAUUAAUUGCCUGAAGAAGAGCUCGCGUCAGAUUAGCUAGUAGGUGGUGUAAAGGACUACCUAGGCGACGAUCUGUAGCUGGUCUGAGAGGACGAUCAGCCACACUGGAACUGAGACACGGUCCAGACUCCUACGGGAGGCAGCAGUGGGGAAUUUUCCGCAAUGGGCGAAAGCCUGACGGAGCAAUACCGCGUGAGGGACGAAGGCUCUUGGGUCGUAAACCUCUUUUCUCAAGGAAGAUAAUGACGGUACUUGAGGAAUAAGCAUCGGCUAACUCUGUGCCAGCAGCCGCGGUAAUACAGAGGAUGCAAGCGUUAUCCGGAAUGAUUGGGCGUAAAGCGUCCGCAGGUGGUUUUGUAAGUCUGCUGUUAAAGCGUGUGGCUCAACCACAUAAGGGCAGUGGAAACUAUGAGACUAGAGUAUGUUAGGGGUAGAGGGAAUUCCCAGUGUAGCGGUGAAAUGCGUAGAGAUUGGGAAGAACACCGGUGGCGGAAAGCGCUCUGCUAGGACAAUACUGACACUGAGGGACGACACCGAGAGGAGAGAAUGUGAUUAUAGAUCUCAUCAUCAGACCGCGGCGGGGGCGGAAGACCGGCUCGGG
rnacentral:rRNA from 1 species